UACGGAGGGUGCAAGCGUUGUCCGGAUUUAUUGGGUUUAAAGGGUGCGUAGGCGGCUUAGUAAGUCCGUGGUGAAAGCCAACAGCUCAACUGUUGAACUGCCAUGGAUACUGUUAGGCUUGAGUACAGACGAGGUAGGCGGAAUGGAUCGUGUAGCGGUGAAAUGCAUAGAUACGAUCCAGAACACCGAUUGCGAAGGCAGCUUACUAGACUGUUACUGACGCUGAGGCACGAAAGCGUGGGGAUCAAACAGG
rnacentral:rRNA from 1 species